AAACCUUGUACGUACAAGCAGUGGGAGCCUGAAAGGGUGACUGCGUACCUUUUGUAUAAUGGGUCAGCGACUUAUAUUUUGUAGCGAGGUUAACCGAAUAGGGGAGCCGAAGGGAAACCGAGUCUUAACUGGGCGUCUAGUUGCAAGGUAUAGACCCGAAACCCGGUGAUCUAGCCAUGGGCAGGUUGAAGGUUGGGUAACACUAACUGGAGGACCGAACCGACUAAUGUUGAAAAAUUAGCGGAUGACUUGUGGCUGGGGGUGAAAGGCCAAUCAAACCGGGAGAUAGCUGGUUCUC
rnacentral:rRNA from 1 species